rnacentral:rRNA from 1 species
GGUUAAGCGACUAAGCGUACACGGUGGAUGCCCUGGCAGUCAGAGGCGAUGAAGGACGUGCUAAUCUGCGAUAAGCGUCGGUAAGGUGAUAUGAACCGUUAUAACCGGCGAUUUCCGAAUGGGGAAACCCAGUGUGAUUCGUCACACUAUCAUUAACUGAAUCCAUAGGUUAAUGAGGCGAACCGGGGGAACUGAAACAUCUAAGUACCCCGAGGAAAAGAAAUCAACCGAGAUUCCCCCAGUAGCGGCGAGCGAACGGGGAGCAGCCCAGAGCCUGAAUCAGUGUGUGUGUUAGUGGAAGCGUCUGGAAAGGCGCGCGAUACAGGGUGACAGCCCCGUACACAAAAAUGCACAUACUGUGAGCUCGAUGAGUAGGGCGGGACACGUGGUAUCCUGUCUGAAUAUGGGGGGACCAUCCUCCAAGGCUAAAUACUCCUGACUGACCGAUAGUGAACCAGUACCGUGAGGGAAAGGCGAAAAGAACCCCGGCGAGGGGAGUGAAAAAGAACCUGAAACCGUGUACGUACAAGCAGUGGGAGCACAGAGCAAUCUGUGUGACUGCGUACCUUUUGUAUAAUGGGUCAGCGACUUAUAUUCUGUAGCAAGGUUAACCGAAUAGGGGAGCCGAAGGGAAACCGAGUCUUAACUGGGCGUUAAGUUGCAGGGUAUAGACCCGAAACCCGGUGAUCUAGCCAUGGGCAGGUUGAAGGUUGGGUAACACUAACUGGAGGACCGAACCGACUAAUGUUGAAAAAUUAGCGGAUGACUUGUGGCUGGGGGUGAAAGGCCAAUCAAACCGGGAGAUAGCUGGUUCUCCCCGAAAGCUAUUUAGGUAGCGCCUCGUGAAUUCAUCUCCGGGGGUAGAGCACUGUUUCGGCAAGGGGGUCAUCCCGACUUACCAACCCGAUGCAAACUGCGAAUACCGGAGAAUGUUAUCACGGGAGACACACGGCGGGUGCUAACGUCCGUCGUGAAGAGGGAAACAACCCAGACCGCCAGCUAAGGUCCCAAAGUCAUGGUUAAGUGGGAAACGAUGUGGGAAGGCCCAGACAGCCAGGAUGUUGGCUUAGAAGCAGCCAUCAUUUAAAGAAAGCGUAAUAGCUCACUGGUCGAGUCGGCCUGCGCGGAAGAUGUAACGGGGCUAAACCAUGCACCGAAGCUGCGGCAGCGACACUGUGUGUUGUUGGGUAGGGGAGCGUUCUGUAAGCCUGCGAAGGUGUGCUGUGAGGCAUGCUGGAGGUAUCAGAAGUGCGAAUGCUGACAUAAGUAACGAUAAAGCGGGUGAAAAGCCCGCUCGCCGGAAGACCAAGGGUUCCUGUCCAACGUUAAUCGGGGCAGGGUGAGUCGACCCCUAAGGCGAGGCCGAAAGGCGUAGUCGAUGGGAAACAGGUUAAUAUUCCUGUACUUGGUGUUACUGCGAAGGGGGGACGGAGAAGGCUAUGUUGGCCGGGCGACGGUUGUCCCGGUUUAAGCGUGUAGGCUGGUUUUCCAGGCAAAUCCGGAAAAUCAAGGCUGAGGCGUGAUGACGAGGCACUACGGUGCUGAAGCAACAAAUGCCCUGCUUCCAGGAAAAGCCUCUAAGCAUCAGGUAACAUCAAAUCGUACCCCAAACCGACACAGGUGGUCAGGUAGAGAAUACCAAGGCGCUUGAGAGAACUCGGGUGAAGGAACUAGGCAAAAUGGUGCCGUAACUUCGGGAGAAGGCACGCUGAUAUGUAGGUGAAGUCCCUCGCGGAUGGAGCUGAAAUCAGUCGAAGAUACCAGCUGGCUGCAACUGUUUAUUAAAAACACAGCACUGUGCAAACACGAAAGUGGACGUAUACGGUGUGACGCCUGCCCGGUGCCGGAAGGUUAAUUGAUGGGGUCAGCGCAAGCGAAGCUCUUGAUCGAAGCCCCGGUAAACGGCGGCCGUAACUAUAACGGUCCUAAGGUAGCGAAAUUCCUUGUCGGGUAAGUUCCGACCUGCACGAAUGGCGUAAUGAUGGCCAGGCUGUCUCCACCCGAGACUCAGUGAAAUUGAACUCGCUGUGAAGAUGCAGUGUACCCGCGGCAAGACGGAAAGACCCCGUGAACCUUUACUAUAGCUUGACACUGAACAUUGAGCCUUGAUGUGUAGGAUAGGUGGGAGGCUUUGAAGUGUGGACGCCAGUCUGCAUGGAGCCGGCCUUGAAAUACCACCCUUUAAUGUUUGAUGUUCUAACGUUGACCCGUAAUCCGGGUUGCGGACAGUGUCUGGUGGGUAGUUUGACUGGGGCGGUCUCCUCCUAAAGAGUAACGGAGGAGCACGAAGGUUGGCUAAUCCUGGUCGGACAUCAGGAGGUUAGUGCAAUGGCAUAAGCCAGCUUGACUGCGAGCGUGACGGCGCGAGCAGGUGCGAAAGCAGGUCAUAGUGAUCCGGUGGUUCUGAAUGGAAGGGCCAUCGCUCAACGGAUAAAAGGUACUCCGGGGAUAACAGGCUGAUACCGCCCAAGAGUUCAUAUCGACGGCGGUGUUUGGCACCUCGAUGUCGGCUCAUCACAUCCUGGGGCUGAAGUAGGUCCCAAGGGUAUGGCUGUUCGCCAUUUAAAGUGGUACGCGAGCUGGGUUUAGAACGUCGUGAGACAGUUCGGUCCCUAUCUGCCGUGGGCGCUGGAGAACUGAGGGGGGCUGCUCCUAGUACGAGAGGACCGGAGUGGACGCAUCACUGGUGUUCGGGUUGUCAUGCCAAUGGCACUGCCCGGUAGCUAAAUGCGGAAGAGAUAAGUGCUGAAAGCAUCUAAGCACGAAACUUGCCCCGAGAUGAGUUCUCCCUGACUCCUUGAGAGUCCUGAAGGAACGUUGAAGACGACGACGUUGAUAGGCCGGGUGUGUAAGCGCAGCGAUGCGUUGAGCUAACCGGUACUAAUGAACCGUGAGGCUUAACCUU